CGGGAUGUAGCUCAGUUUGGUAGAGCGCUGUGUUCGGGACGCAGAGGCCGCGUGUUCAAGUCGCGUCAUCCCGACCA
rnacentral:tRNA from 2 species